UACAGAGGUCCCGAGCGUUGUUCGGAUUCAUUGGGCGUAAAGAGUAUGUAGGCGGCUUUGUAAGUCAGUUGUGAAAUCCCCGGGCUUAACCCGGGAAGUGCAAAUGAUACUGCUAAGCUUGAAUUUGGAAGAGGGUAGUGGAAUUCCUGGUGUAGUGGUGAAAUACGUAGAUAUCAGGAGGAACACCGGUGGCGAAGGCGGCUACCUGGUCCUAAAUUGACGCUGAGAUACGAAAGCAUGGGGAUCAAACAGG
rnacentral:rRNA from 1 species